rnacentral:rRNA from 1 species
AACACGUUGGCAUAACCUACCGUAUUAAGAACUGGGAUAACUUCGGGAAACCGGAGCUAAUACCGGAUAACAUAUUGAACCGCAUGGUUCAAUAGUGAAAGGCGGCUUUGCUGUCACUUAUAGAUGGAUCCGCGCCGUAUUAGCUAGUUGGUAAGGUAACGGCUUACCAAGGCAACGAUACGUAGCCGACCUGAGAGGGUGAUCGGCCACACUGGAACUGAGACACGGUCCAGACUCCUACGGGAGGCAGCAGUAGGGAAUCUUCCGCAAUGGGCGAAAGCCUGACGGAGCAACGCCGCGUGAGUGAUGAAGGUCUUCGGAUCGUAAAACUCUGUUAUCAGGGAAGAACAAAUGUGUAAGUAACUGUGCACAUCUUGACGGUACCUGAUCAGAAAGCCACGGCUAACUACGUGCCAGCAGCCGCGGUAAUACGUAGGUGGCAAGCGUUAUCCGGAAUUAUUGGGCGUAAAGCGCGCGUAGGCGGUUUUUUAAGUCUGAUGUGAAAGCCCACGGCUCAACCGUGGAGGGUCAUUGGAAACUGGAAAACUUGAGUGCAGAAGAGGAAAGUGGAAUUCCAUGUGUAGCGGUGAAAUGCGCAGAG